AGUCUUUCUCAACAUUGAGACU
rnacentral:snRNA from 1 species